rnacentral:rRNA from 1 species
GAUGAACGCUGGCGGCGUGCCUAAUACAUGCAAGUCGAGCGAACAGACGAGGAUCUUGCUCCUCUGACGUUAGCCGCGGACGGGUGAGUAACACGUGGAUAACCUACCUAUAAGACUGGGAUAACUUCGUGAAACCGGAGCUAAUACCGGAUAAUAUAUUGAACCGCAUGGUUCAAUAGUGAAAGACGGUUUUGCUGUCACUUAUAGAUGGAUCCGCGCCGCAUUAGCUAGUUGGUAAGGUAACGGCUUACCAAGGCAACGAUGCGUAGCCGACCUGAGAGGGUGAUCGGCCACACUGGAACUGAGACACGGCACAGACUCAUACGGGAGGGAGCAGUAGGGAAUCUUCCGCAAUGGGCGGAAGCCUGACGGAGCAACGCAGCGUGAGUGAUGAAGGUCUUCGGAUGGUAAACCUCUGUUAUCAGGGAAGAACAAAUGUGUAAGUAACUAUGCACGUCUUGACGGUACCUAAUCAGAAAGCCACGGCUAAAUACGUG